rnacentral:rRNA from 1 species
GAUGAACGCUGGCGGCGUGCCUAAUUCAUGCAAGUCGAGCGAACAGAUGAGGAGCUUGCUCCUCUGACGUUAUCGGCGGACGGGUGAGUAACACGUGGAUAACCUACCUAUAAGACUGGGAUAACUUCGGGAAACCGGAGCUAAUACCGGAUAAUAUAUUGAACCGCAUGGUUCAAUAGUGAAAGACGGUUUUGCUGUCACUUAUAGAUGGAUCCGCGCCGCAUUAGCUAGUUGGUAAGGUAACGGCUUACCAAGGCAACGAUGCGUAGCCGACCUGAGAGGGUGAUCGGCCACACUGGAACUGAGACACGGUCCAGACUCCUACGGGAGGCAGCAGUAGGGAAUCUUCCGCAAUGGGCGAAAGCCUGACGGAGCAACGCCGCGUGAGUGAUGAAGGUCUUCGGAUCGUAAAACUCUGUUAUUAGGGAAGAACAAAUGUGUAAGUAACUAUGCACGUCUUGACGGUACCUAAUCAGAAAGCCACGGCUAACUACGUG